rnacentral:misc_RNA from 1 species
UCCUGGUUAACCCAGGCAGUCUCAUUAGAGUGCCCAACUUAAUGCUGGCAACUAACAAUAGGGGUUGCGCUCGUUGCGAGACUUAACCCAACAUUUCACAACACGAGCUGACGACAGCCAUGCAGCACCUCUCACUACAUUCUCCGAAGAGCACCCCUGUAUCUCUACAAGGUUCGUAGGAGUUCAAGCCCAGGUAAGGUUCUGCGCGUUGCUUCGAAUUAAACCACAUAAUCCACCGCUUGUGCGGGCCCCCGUCAAUUCCUUUGAGUUUUAAUCUUGCGACCGUACUUCCCAGGCGGUUCACUUAAUGCGUUAGCUGCGUCACUGAGGGAGUCAAUACCCCCAAUAACUAGUGAACAUCGUUUACGGCGUGGACUAC